GAUGAACGCUAGCGGCAGGCUUAAUACAUGCAAGUCGAGGGGCAGCAUGACUGUAGCAAUACAGUUGAUGGCGACCGGCAAACGGGUGCGGAACACGUACAGAACCUUCCUUCGAGCGGGGAAUAGCCCAGAGAAAUUUGGAUUAAUACCCCAUAGUACAACGGAGUGGCAUCACUUUGUUGUUAAAGAUUUAUCACUUGAAGAUGGCUGUGCGGCUGAUUAGGUAGUUGGCGGGGUAACGGCCCACCAAGCCUGCGAUCAGUAACUGGUGUGAGAGCACGACCAGUCACACGGGCACUGAGACACGGGCCCGACUCCUACGGGAGGCAGCAGUAAGGAAUAUUGGUCAAUGGACGAAAGUCUGAACCAGCCAUGCCGCGUGGAGGAUGAAGGUCCUCUGGAUUGUAAACUUCUUUUAUAUGGGACGAAAAAAGGGUUUUCUAACUCGUCUGACGGUACCAUAUGAAUAAGCACCGGCUAACUCCGUGCCAGCCGCCGCGGUAAAAC
rnacentral:rRNA from 1 species